rnacentral:lncRNA from 1 species
AGGUCUAGGGGUUGGGGAAUAUUAAAGUUUACAAGUACAAUCUUACUCCAUCCAUACACACACAUGGAGAAGCCGGGAGAGGACGCGGCCAGAGAUGGGCUCCUGCCCUUGAACCCCUGCUGGGGUGGAAGCGGGUGCACAAUGCUUCUUUGAGUAUCUCCGUGUCUGUGGCUGAUAUCCAGAUGCAAGGCUUCUUCUGGGCAUCCCUGGGAAUGGGAGUGCAUAGACAUACUGGUCAAAUUAC